rnacentral:rRNA from 1 species
GACAGAGGGUGCAAACGUUGUUCGGAAUUACUGGGCGUAAAGCGUGUGUAGGCGGCUAGGUAAGUCGGAUGUGAAAGCCCCGGGCUCAACUCGGGAAGUGCACUCGAUACUGCUUAGCUCGAGUACCGGAGAGGUUGGUGGAAUUCUCGGUGUAGAGGUGAAAUUCGUAGAUAUCGAGAGGAACACCGGUGGCGAAGGCGGCCAACUGGACGAGUACUGACGCUGAGACACGAAAGCGUGGGGAUCAAACAGG